rnacentral:rRNA from 1 species
GACGGAGGAUGCAAGUGUUAUCCGGAAUCACUGGGCGUAAAGCGUCUGUAGGUGGUUUAAAAAGUCCACUGUUAAAAAUUGAGACUUAACUUCAAAGAUGCCGUGGAAACUUUUAAACUUGAGUAUGAUAGGGGUAGAGGGAAUUUCCAGUGGAGCGGUGAAAUGCGUAGAUAUUGGAAAGACCACCAAGCGAAGCACUCUACUGGGCCAUUACUGACACUGAGAGACGAAAGCUAGGGGAGCGAAUGGG